CCCCUCCAGAUGUUUUACCUCUCAGAUCUAAACAUUGGUCCAAGUGGCAAUAAAAGAAGGCAAAAUAAAACUGAAGUGGACUUGGAUUCUUUAGUGACAUACAAGCUCAUUUCAAACAUAU
rnacentral:snoRNA from 1 species